AACGCUGGCGGCAGGCUUAACACAUGCAAGUCGAGCGGAAACGAAGGUAGCUUGCUACCAGGCGUCGAGCGGCGGACGGGUGAGUAAUGCUUAGGAAUCUACCGAGUAGUGGGGGAUAGCCAUUGGAGACGAUGAUUAAUACCGCAUAUAUCCUACGGGGGAAAGCAGGGGACCUUCGGGCCUUGCGCUAUUCGAUGAGCCUGAGUGAGAUUAGCUAGUUGGUGGGGUAAAGGCCUACCAAGGCGACGAUCUCUAGCUGGUCUGAGAGGAUGAUCAGCCACACUGGGACUGAGACACGGCCCAGACUCCUACGGGAGGCAGCAGUGGGGAAUAUUGCACAAUGGACGAAAGUCUGAUGCAGCCAUGCCGCGUGUGUGAAGAAGGCCUUCGGGUUGUAAAGCACUUUCAGCGAGGAGGAAAGGUCAGUAAGUAAUAUUUGCUGGCUGUGACGUUACUCGCAGAAGAAGCACCGGCUAAUUUAGUGCCAGCAGCCGCGGUAAUACUAAAGGUGCAAGCGUUAAUCGGAAUUACUGGGCGUAAAGCGCGCGUAGGUGGUUUGUUAAGUUGGAUGUGAAAGCCCAGGGCUCAACCUUGGAACUGCAUUCAAAACUGACUCACUAGAGUACGAGAGAGGUUAGUGGAAUUUCCUGUGUAGCGGUGAAAUGCGUAGAGAUGGGAAGGAACACCAGUGGCGAAGCGACUGACUGGCUCGAUACUGACACUGAGUGCGAA
rnacentral:rRNA from 1 species